rnacentral:lncRNA from 1 species
AUGCUCAAGAGUUGCAGAAUUAGGAGUUUGGAGCCAGGUCCCAUGGAGCCACCGACAUGCUGUGUGACCUCAGGCCUGAUGCUUCUCCUUUCCGAGCCCCACCUCCCGCUGGAGAGAUGCCAGGAGAGACUGGGCACAAUGAGACUUGGGGAAGUAUCUGCUGGGGAUCCUUGCUGCUGUCCAGGGGUUGCUAGCCAGUUAGAGAUGGAUGGAGUGUAAGACGGUAGGAGAGGCUGUUGAAUCUCGCUGUCCUAUGCUGAACUCAACUCAGCUCUCCAAAUCAGGCAAGACUUUAGACCUGACACUUUCUCCCGCCCCCCUCUGCUGGCCCCACUCUUUCCCCGGGCAAAUUACCUUAGGAUGCGGUGUUAUUGUGUAGGGGGUCUAGAUAGGCAGACUUUGGAGCAUUGCUGGGGAAGUUAGCCUCUUGGAGCCUCAUUGUCCAUGGCUGGGGAGGAAGGCCAUGCCUGGGAGGUUGGACCACCCACUGUGCGUCCUGCUUGCCACAUGGGACUUGGGCUGAAUGGUUAAAGAUUCUUACAGAUUCGGAGGGUUCUAGUGCCUGCAUCUCACCUACUCGGAGUAAUUUCUUGGACUCUUUAUCUUUCAGAUUUCACUAUGAAGAGUUGUCAGCCUGAUAGCAUUUGACAAGUAUCAAUUUAGGGUCUCUGAUGGCAAGGUCCUGCAGGAAUGGACCACAACGGGAGCUUGAGACCCGCAGUGGGUCAGCAUUUUGAAAUGGGAAUGGCAGGCUCCCUACUUUCACUGUUGUUCGUUUUCAUUUGUUCCUCACUGUGGGAUAGGCACGUUAUACCUUCUUUCCAUCCUUCAUCUUACAGACUCCUCACGUCCACUGUAAGAGGCAGGUGGUACGAACUCUGUUAGCUGUGAAGUUAGGAAGCAGACCCCACAACCCCCUCACUUCUGACACCAGCUGCAGAGUCUGGGUCCCUAAGACCACCCUCAGGUUUAAUAAUUCUCUAGAAGGGCUCCCAGAGCUCAUGAGAGCUGUCACACUUAUGGUUAAUUUCAGGGAAAGGAAGCAGACUGGCCUCAGCCAUGGAAGAGGUGCACAGGACGGGGCCCAGGAGUGCCCGGACACGGAGCUCCCAGUUGUCCUCUCCCCAUGGACUCCUGGGCAGCCUUAGCUCCCCUGGCAGCGAUGUGACAGCAUGCACGGAGUGUGGCCAACCAGGGAAGCCCCCAGCCUGUGUGCAGG